rnacentral:rRNA from 1 species
UACGUAGGUUGCAAGCGUUGUCCGGAAUCAUUGGGCGUAAAGAGCGCGUAGGUGGCUUGUCAGGUCUGAUGUGAAAUCCUGGGGCUCAACUCCAGAACUGCAUCGGAAACCGGCUUGCUAGAGUCUGGGAGAGGAGAGUGGAAUUCCUGGUGUAGCGGUGAAAUGCGUAGAUAUCAGGAGGAACACCGGUAGCGAAGGCGGCUCUCUGGAACAGUACUGACGCUGAGGCGCGAAAGCUAGGGGAGCGAACAGG